UGGUGGAUGCCUUGGCAUCAGGAGCCGAUGAAGGACGUGGAAAUCUGCGAUAAGCCUCGGGGAGCCGAUAAACGGGCUGUGAUCCGAGGAUGUCCGAAUGGGGGAACCCCGCCGCAUGCGAGUGCGGUGACCCGCACCUGAAUAUAUAGGGUGUGUGGAGGGAACGCCGGGAAGUGAAACAUCUCAGUACCCGUAGGAAGAGAAAAUAAGAAUGAUUCCGGGAGUAGUGGCGAGCGAAACUGGAUGAGCCUAAACCGUGUGCGUGU
rnacentral:rRNA from 1 species